UAUGUUGAGUGGCCUUGUAAAUAGAAUAGGAUGGGUUCUCUUUUGGGAGGGAGAAACCCUAGCCACCACUUGAAGCAAGAGAGAGAGAUAGAGUGAAUCCCGGGUCACUGUCGUCGUUGCCGUGAGAGUUACAACUGCUGCUGUUUCCUUUAUGAGCAUCAACGAUAUCGAUUCUUGAUGAGGUUUUCGACUUGGGUGUUUUAGUUGUGAGCAUCGUCAGAGUGGUUGUCCAUAUGACGUGCUACAACCAUAAGAAGUCGAGAUCGAACAGUUUUUUGUGUAGAUCUGCGCAUUCCAAAGAGGGUUGAGGCGUGGGUGUUCAAGAUCCGUGGUAUUCUAGAACAAGAAGGAAUUUCGGGUUUGUGUCGUGGGUGUUCUUCAUUAGGUUCGAAGAUCGACGCGGAAGGAGAUCUACAAAGGUUGUAUUUCUCCAUUCUUUUUACUUUUCUUGUAAAUUAAUCUCUUACAAAGCUUCUAUUGUAUGUAAUAUUGUACAUUUCCUUAAUAAUAUUGACUCGCAAAGGGUGUCAUCCUUGCAAGUGGAUGUAGGUCUUAACGGACCGAACCUCUUUAAAUCUCGUGUUAUCUCUUGCAUAUACUCUUUUUGGUACAUAUUUCAGUUCUGUCCAGCAUCUUGAAUUGUUGAUAAUCGCUUGUAUACUCACUGUUUUGACUACAUAUUUAUUGGAAAAUUAUUGGGAUUGAUCUUGGGUUUAUAACAAUUGGAAUAAGAGCUUAAUCCUGUGUAAUCUGUGUAAAUUGCAUACUCUUUAGGAUAAAAGAAUUGUGUGAAUAUUUUCUUGAAUAAUUUUUUUAGUAUUAUUCUUUGAAAAGUGUGCUGUCCAUUUUUUUUUAUCUUGCAAGAUGAGUACAAAGUUCGAGGUGGAGCGAUUUGACGGCAAAGCAGACUUCGGUCUCUAGAAGAUUAAAAUGAUGGCUAUCUUGCGACAACAAAAGGCCAAUUACACUCUCGUGGAAGCCAAGGACAUUUCGACUAGCAUAAUGGCAUAACAAUUGGUUGAGAUGAAUAAGGUGGCUCACGGCCUUAUCAUCUUACAUUUGUCUGACUCGGUUAUUCGGUAAAUGAGGAGCGAGGAUACCGCCGCCGCUCCAAUGCUUCAGCUGUUCUUCGCAGUCGCUUUCUCGGCAGUGCCAUUGACGCUGUACGUGCCGCCGAUUCGGAGCCUCAAUCUCUUCGUCGAAACCCUAGAGGAUCUUCUUCGUCACACUGCCAUUCAUACGCUCAGAGUUUAUCCUCGGUUUCGCAUCGCCUUCUCUCGCCUCUUCCGCUCCGUCUUCAGCGCCUCCUAUUCUUGAGGUUUGAUUCUUGAGAUUCGAUUGUUCGUAUUGUUUAAUUUGUGUUUGGAAUCUUGAAUUUCUGUUCGCUGUUGUAUAUGGAAGUGCGAUUUUGCUUUGUAAUUAGUCGCGAUUCUGGAUUUAGGUCUCCUUCUUCUCUGAUUCUGUUCCCGAUCUUAUUUAGAGCUACAGAUAUAUUCCCGAUUCUCUGUUU